rnacentral:rRNA from 1 species
AUUGAACGCUGGCGGCAGGCUUAACACAUGCAAGUCGAGCGGGGUGAUGGUGCUUGCACUAUCACUUAGCGGCGGACGGGUGAGUAAUGCUUAGGAAUCUGCCUAUUAGUGGGGGACGACAUCUCGAAAGGGAUGCUAAUACCGCAUACGUCCUACGGGAGAAAGCAGGGGAUCACUUGUGACCUUGCGCUAAUAGAUGAGCCUAAGUCGGAUUAGCUAGUUGGUGGGGUAAAGGCCUACCAAGGCGACGAUCUGUAGCGGGUCUGAGAGGAUGAUCCGCCACACUGGGACUGAGACACGGCCCAGACUCCUACGGGAGGCAGCAGUGGGGAAUAUUGGACAAUGGGGGGAACCUUGAUCCAGCCAUGCCGCGUGUGUGAAGAAGGCCUUAUGGUUGUAAAGCACUUUAAGCGAGGAGGAGGCUCUUUUGGUUAAUACCCAAGAUGAGUGGACGUUACUCGCAGAAUAAGCACCGGCUAACUCUGUGCCAGCCGCCGCUGUAA